CCGCCGGCGACUUGCCUGAAAAAGUGUUUGUAUUUGGUGUUAUCUUAUAAACCCUCAAGAAUUGUGUCAAUGCUGCGUCAUCGAUUAGCUCGUUUCUUGAUUUCUUUAAUGCUCUUUUAAAUGUAUCCACGAACCUUUCCACUUGCCCGUUUGAUCUUGGGUGAUACGAAGGAGUAAAAUUAUAUAUCCAACAUU